GGGGCAGCGGAGAGAUGGUGGGCUGCGGAACAUGUGCUGGCCUCGGGCCACAUGUCUGCCGACCAUCACCUUUAGGUCUGU
rfam:Cavia porcellus supercont2_111 genomic scaffold, whole genome shotgun sequence.